AAACAGUGGAUUUUAACUCAUUCCUCUUUUCUGAGAAACCAUUCCUCUUCCUGCAAGCUCUCUCCUCCUCCUGCAUCUUCUCCCUUUUCCAUUCUUCACUGAACCAUUAAAAUCUUGAUUAGGUGCUGCCCCAACGAUCGCCAAGUAGCGGGUGUUGCUCUUAGUCGAUCAAUUUUCCCUAAUUUGAACCGGUGAUUCUAACAUUUGGAAAGUGCAAGCAAGUGGUCUAGGGUUCCUACUUGAGCUUGGUUGUCUACACUAGAGUAGGUGAUGAUGUACCUUUGGAGCAAGCUUUGGAAGUUGAGGAAGACCCAGCACCUAGUGCUUAGGAUUUCUACCAGCUCUUAUGUUAAAUAGCUUUUCAUUUUGAAAGACUUCUAGCCUUCAUCUUUAGCAUGAUCCGUAUUUUGAAUAAUUAUGAACUCGUACUUAUGUUUUAAAGUUUUCCAGUCAGACUUGGAUAACUGUACUCCUUAAUUCCAUCUAUUGUGUACUCUUAACUGCUUUCUAUUAUUAUAAUCGAUGCAUUCUACGUAUAUACUUUGUUAUAUAUUUUGGGAUGUCACAAUUUAUGCAUCUUAAAAAAAUAUAUUUAAUUUGUAUGAUGUUAUAACAA